rnacentral:rRNA from 1 species
UGAGGGAAAGGCGAAAAGAACCCCGGCGAGGGGAGUGAAAAAGAACCUGAAACCGUGUACGUACAAGCAGUGGGAGCCCCACCACUAAGCCAGUGGUGAACUCCACAUACGCAUCCUUUGCUGAGGAUACGGUUAACGGAGCGAAAGCGACGUUCAACCUCAAAAGAAGCAGAGGGGGCUUAGUGGUGGGGUGACUGCGUACCUUUUGUAUAAUGGGUCAGCGACUUAUAUUCUGUAGCAAGGUUAACCGUAUAGGGGAGCCGGAGG